UAUGGCUAGUGUCAUCAAUGUCCUCCCCGACAUUAGUGGGUCCUACUGCCCACCAAAUUUCUGCAGUAGGUAUCAACUCUCUGCUGUGAUUGCUUUCUUGUCUUGGUUUCUUACCACCACUUCGUCACUUUUCAAUAUGUGGCUGCUUGCUUCUUGGUGAUUCUCAUUCAACUUGGGCUAUUGUUGUCUUGUUGGUGAUAUCUGAGACUGUUCAUGAUGUGGUUGUGUCUAUAUAUUAUUGAUUUGAUUGUGGAAGGUGGAAGUGAGUUGUCAAUAAAAAUCAGAUUCCUCCCAUUGAUGAGUAAAAAGAUGAAAGAAAUGUGAAAUUCUAUAAUGUAUUUGCAAAAAACUUUGUACAUCCAUUGUGCAAAGAACUCUUUCAUUUCUAUAAGAAUCCAAACAAAAUGAAAAAAAUAGUAUCCUAGGUAGGAUGGGAAAAGAACUUUCCCAAAACAGGAUUGCUGUUAGAUUCAUAUGCUAGAGGUAUUAAAUAUAUUUCAGGUUGAUCUUCUGAAGAAUGAGGUAGGCUUUGAUGAAGCUUUCAAUUACAAAGAGGUGCCAGACUUAGAUGCAACCUUGAAAAGGCCAGCUUUUGAAAUUCAUAUGUAAUGUGUUUCUAAAAUUUAUCAACAUCAUCAGAAAAAGAUUUUGGCGUCUCUCAAUUUGGCUGAGGAAAUCAAAGCCCCAAAACUCAAUAAUGAGAGUACGUGAGACUUUGAGAUGUGAUUUUUAAACUCUUCAUAUUGAAAAUCAUGUGGCCAAAAUCAUCACUAUUGAUUGUAACAAUUUGAAGUUUUUAGCGUCCAACAUGAUUUUUAAACUUCUCAAUUCUGCUCUUAACUCAUCUCAGCCAUCAAUUAGCACCACUGAUACAUCUCUUUAUUCUAGCAAUGGAGCUUUGGAUCCUACUGAUACGUCUCCUUAUUCUACUAACCACUUAGAUGGCAUACAUGAUGACAACACUUACACAAUUCCCAGGAUUUGCAAAUCAACAAAAACCUGGAAGAAGGGCAUCACCAAAAGCCAUAAAGAUGUGGAAAGAAAAUGGUUUUAGGAUUUAUCCGGUAACUUGCUAUAUGGAGUUAUUCCGUUCUCGUCAUCUAGGCUCAAACAACUUGCUAUAUGGAGAUAUUCCGGUAACUUGCUAUAUAGGACCUUGAAAUGAAACCCACCUUUGUUCCUAAGUCUGUCAAGGCUAGUGCCAUGUUAUUCUUAGCAAUCUCAAAAUUUAGAGACACUGUCAAACACCUGACACAGCAGAACAUCCAUCACUAAAGAUAAAUAUCAAUCAAAAUGCAUCAAGAGUCAUGCACUAUUUAUGACUACAAAUAUGAGAGCAGAUAACCAGUGGACUACCUCUCAUAGCACGCAAUAGC